rnacentral:rRNA from 1 species
AACGAACGCUGGCGGCGCGUCUUAAGCAUGCAAGUCGAACGGCAAGAGAGGAGCUUGCUUCUCUCCUAGAGUGGCGGACUGGUGAGGAACACGUGGGUAAUCUACCCUUAAGAUGGGGAUAGCUGCUAGAAAUAGCAGGUAAUACCGAAUACACUCGGCAUAUCACAAGAGGUGUUGAGGAAAGGAAGCUACGGCUUCGCUUGAGGAUGAGCUUGCGUCCCAUUAGCUAGUUGGUGAGGUAAAGGCCCACCAAGGCGACGAUGGGUAUCUGGCCUGAGAGGGUGAACGGACACAUUGGGACUGAGAUACGGCCCAAACUCCUACGGGAGGCAGCAGCUAAGAAUAUUCCGCAAUGGACGGAAGUCUGACGGAGCGACGCCGCGUGGAUGAAGAAGGCUGAAAAGUUGUAAAAUCCUUUUGUUGAUGAAGAAUAAGGGUGAGAGGGAAUGCUCAUCUGAUGACGGUAAUCGACGAAUAAGCCCCGGCUAAUUACGUG